rnacentral:rRNA from 1 species
UUUUAUGAAGGGCCGCAGUAUUUUGACUGUGCAAAGGUAGCAUAAUCAUUAGUCUUUUAAUUGAAGGCUGGAAUGAAUGGUUGGAUGAAGUACAAGCUGUCUCACCUAAAUUAAAGUAAAACUUUACUUUUUAGUCAAAAGGCUGAAAUGGAUUUGGAGGACGAGAAGACCCUAUAGAGCUUUAUAGGUAUAAUUUGCUAAUUUUAGAAGUGGUCAGUUAGGAGGUUGAACCUAUUUUGUUGGGGCGACAAGGAAAUAAAUUAACUUUCUUUAAUAAAAACACGGAUGAGUGAAAAUUGGAUCCAUUAUUUAUGAUUAAAAGAUUAAGUUACCUUAGGGAUAACAGCAUAAUCUUCUCCAAGAGUUCUAAUCGACGAGAAAGGGUUGUGACCUC